rnacentral:tRNA from 1 species
GAGGUAUUAGUAAAAUAUUUACAUAACUUUGUCAAAGUUAAAUUAUAGGUUAAAGUCCUUUAUACCUCC